rnacentral:piRNA from 1 species
UAAGACCUUGGGUGCUCUUGUCUUUUGCU